rnacentral:rRNA from 1 species
GACGAACGCUGGCGGCGCGCCUAACACAUGCAAGUCGAACGAGCGAGCGAGAGCUUGCUUUCUCGAGCGAGUGGCGAACGGGUGAGUAACGCGUGAGGAACCUGCCUCAAAGAGGGGGACAACAGUUGGAAACGACUGCUAAUACCGCAUAAGCCCACGUGUCGGCAUCGACCAGAGGGAAAAGGAGCAAUCCGCUUUGAGAUGGCCUCGCGUCCGAUUAGCUAGUUGGUGAGGUAAUGGCCCACCAAGGCGACGAUCGGUAGCCGGACUGAGAGGUUGAACGGCCACAUUGGGACUGAGACACGGCCCAGACUCCUACGGGAGGCAGCAGUGGGGAAUAGUGCACAAUGGGGGAAACCCUGAUGCAGCGACGCCGCGUGGAGGAAGAAGGUCUUCGGAUUGUAAACUCCUGUUGUUGGGGAAGAUAAUGACGGUACCCAACAAGGAAGUGACGGCUAACUACGUG